GCACUGCUGAGGAGUCCCACAAUAGGAGGAAACGGCCGUCCGUCCAGUAC
rfam:Schistosoma mansoni, Puerto Rico, WGS project CABG01000000 data, contig: 0241